rnacentral:lncRNA from 1 species
AAGUUCUCAAGCAGCAUCUUUUUUAAGAGUCUUAGGCUUAAUUUGGUAUUGAACUCUAUUUAACGCUAUUAGAUAAAAUAGAAGGCUUAGUCUGGUAUUGAGCUCUAUUUAACGCUAUUAGAUAAAGUAGAGUUGGCGUAAAAACAUAUAAGGAUAUGUUUCUGCAUUAUAUGGUGAGAUCGUAAAAAAUAUAUCAUAACCGACUAAUCACGAUAUACGAAGCGCAAUAAUACGUACGGAAACAAACAAAAUAUUUUCUCAUAGUAUUUUUUUACCACACGUAAUGUAAUUUCCCCGCAUUUUCAAACAAAGCCCAUUUUGUUUUCGCU